GCCUGGGUGGCUCAGUCGGUCAAGCACCCGACUUGGGCUCAGGUCAUGAUCUGCCGGUUCAUGGGUUCGAGCCCCGUGUCAGGCU
rnacentral:tRNA from 1 species